UACAGAGGGUGCUAGCGUUAAUCGGAAUUAUUGGGCGUAAAGCGCGCGCAGGCGGUCCUUUAAGUCUGAUGUGAAAGCCCUCGGCUCAACCGAGGAGGGUCAUUGGAAACUGGAGGACUUGAGUGCAGAAGAGGAAAGUGGAAUUCCAAGUGUAGCGGUGAAAUGCGUAGAGAUUUGGAGGAACACCAGUGGCGAAGGCGACUUUCUGGUCUGUAACUGACGCUGAGGCGCAAAAGCGUGGGGAGCAAACAGG
rnacentral:rRNA from 1 species